rnacentral:lncRNA from 1 species
CCCGGACUUAACCUCAAUUGCAGAAAGAAUUUUCCAGGGUGGGGUUUUGCCAAAUUUUCUGAGAUGGUCAAUGGGAAAAAAGAAUGCAUAAACUUGUCAUGAGAAGUGAGACAGGGACGGUAACUUUAGUUGUGCACAGUCUCAGCCUUAAAAGUCCAGGGGAUAGUGGAUCGAGGGCAAAUAGUCACGGAAGCUGAAGCAAGGCUGGCGUACUCCGGGAAAGACGCUAGACGGCGCUGCUGGGACGCACUUUCUCCCGGGAAAGGACUGGGAGUUGGAGAAAACGGGCGGGGCUGUCCUGUCUGGCUGCUCUGGAAGCCACCGUCUUCCCUACGCCUCCUCGGAGCCCCUCGCCUUCGGGCAGCCUCCCUUGUCGCCUGGGAAUCUUGAGCCCGGGCUCUCUGCAACCCAGUUCUCUAUCUCAUUCUGGACCGCGAUCGCCCCGACAUGGAACGGCACGCUUGAGCCCCGCUGGACGCCCCGGCUGUUUUGCAAGACUCAGACAGCUGCCAAGGAAAGUGAACGAUGAAGCCACCAUUUCUUUUGGCUCUUGUAGUCAGUUCUGUAGUCAGCACAAAUUUGAAGAUGGUGUCAAAGAGAAAUUCUGGUAAGUGGUUGGCAACUUCUCAUGAUUUGGUCAAAAAUAUGUGCUUUUUUGUGAGCAUCUAGAGAGCAUCUGUGUCUUUAACUAUGAAUAUCUUUAAACAGAAUCACUUGUAAUCCAGCUAUGUUGGAAAGUAGCCAAGGCAAAAAUGAGAUUUUAGCCUACCACUGAGAAAAUGUUGGGAAACCAGUGGAAUUUUGUUCAAUUUCAAUGGC